AGCAGCCGCGGUAAUUCCAGCUCCAAUAGCGUAUAUUAAAGUUGCUGCAGUUAAAAAGCUCGUAGUUGAAUUUCGGGACCAUCAUGUCGGUCGUGCCUCGGUACGUACUGGCAUUGUUGGUUUCUCCCUUCUGACGAACCAUGAUGUCAUUUAUUUGGUGUUGUGGGGAAUCAGGACUGUUACUUUGAAAAAUUAGAGUGUUUAAAGCAGGCUCACGCUUGAAUACAUUAGCAUGGAAUAAUGAAAUAGGACGUUUGAUUCUAUUUUGUUGGUUUCUAGGAUCGACGUAAUGAUUAAUAGGGAUAGUUGGGGGCAUUAGUAUUCAAUUGUCAGAGGUGAAAUUCUUGGAUUUAUUGAAGACUAACUACUGCGAAAGCAUUUGCCAAGGAUGUUUUCAUUAAUCAAGAACGAAAGUUAGGGGAUCGAAGACGAUCAGAUACCGUCGUAGUCUUAACCAUAAACUAUGCCGACUAGGGAUCGGAUGAUGUUAAUUUUUUAAUGACUCAUUC
rnacentral:rRNA from 1 species